CCCUUAGAUGUUCUGGGCCGCACACGCGCUACACUGAAGGAGGCAGCGUGUACUCCUGGAUCGAAAGAUUUGGGUAACCCGCGAAUCUCCUUCGUGCUAGGGAUUGAUGUUUGCAAUUAUCCUUCAUGAACGAGGAAUUCCCAGUAAGUGCAAGUCAUAAGCUUGCGCUGACUACGUCCCUGCCCUUUGUACACACCGCCCGUCGCUACUACCGAUUGAAUGAUUUAGUGAGGACUUCGGACUGGGACCGAUGCGGCUUUCGGGCUGCGUCGGUAUUCUGGAAAGAUGUCCAAACUGUAUCAUUUAGAGGAAGUAAAAGUCGUAACA
rnacentral:rRNA from 1 species